UUUCUAAAGGAAGCAUUCAAGGUGGGGUCCAGUCUGGAUUGGGAAGUGCUUGGGACCAGCUGUGGUGUGGAUGGGCUUCCUUGGAGAAGACUGAGGACAUCAUUUGGGACCAGCUUUUCUUCUGGCAGUGGAUGGUGUGAGCCGGGCUCUGCGGAUGCUGAGGCUGCUCUGGGCUCUGCCAGGGCUCUGCUGGGCUCAGCACCGGGCUGGGAUCAGCCAAAGAAGAAACAGUGUGACCUCUAGCAGAGACUUGAGCAUUUCGGCAGUGCAGCUCAAGUCUGCACAGUGUCCAGCUCCAUGGGAAAACAUGACAUCCCCCAAAAAUAAACUUGUUCAAUAACUUCUGAAAUGAAAUCAGUCUGGGAUGACCCCAAAUGACAUUUUUCAUCUUGCUCAAGCUGUAGCUCAGCCCUUCUCUGAACAGUUCUCUCCCCCACCUGCCUUUUACU